rnacentral:rRNA from 1 species
GAUGAACGCUAGCGGCAGGCCUAAUACAUGCAAGACGAACGGUAAGUUGAGUAGCAAUACUUGACCUAGAGUGUCGUACGGGUGCGUAACACGUAUGCAACCUACCCAUAACAGGAGGAUAGCUCCCCGAAAGGGGAAUUAACCCUCCAUAGUAAUAUUGAAUGGCAUCAUUUGGUAUUUAAAACUCCGGUGGUUAUGGAUGGGCAUGCGUCUGAUUAGUUAGUUGGCGGGGUAACGGCCCACCAAGGCGAUGAUCAGUAGGGGAACUGAGAGGUUGAUCCCCCACACUGGCACUGAGAUACGGGCCAGACUCCUACGGGAGGCAGCAGUAGGGAAUAUUGGUCAAUGGAUGGAAGUCUGAACCAGCCAUGCCGCGUGCAGGAAGAAGGCCUUAUGGGUUGUAAACUGCUUUUGCCAGGGGAUAAAAUAGCUGUGCGCAGCGAAUUGCAGGUACCUGGUGAAUAAGCCACGGCUAACUACGUGCCAGCAGCCGCGGUAAUACGUAGGUGGCAAGCGUUGUCCGGAUUUAUUGGGUUUAAAGGGUGCGUAGGCGGCCCUGUAAGUCAGUGGUGAAAUACUCCAGCUUAACUGGAGGGGUGCCAUUGAUACUGCAGGGCUUGAGUGGAGUAGAAGUAGGCGGAAUUGACGGUGUAGCGGUGAAAUGCUUAGAUAUCGUCAAGAACACCGAUAGUGAAGACAGCUUACUAUGCUUCAACUGACGCUGAGGCACGAAAGUGUGGGGAUCAAACAGGAUUAGAUACCCUGGUAGUCCACACUGUAAACGUUGAUGACUCGCUGUUGGCGAUACACAGCCAGCGGCCAAGCGCAAGCGAUAAGUCAUCCACCUGGGGAGUACGCCGGCAACGGUG